rnacentral:misc_RNA from 1 species
GAAAUGCGAUAAGUAGUGUGAAUUGCAGAAUUCAGUGAAUCAUCGAAUCUUUGAACGCACAUUGCGCCCCUUGGUAUUCCAUGGGGCAUGCCUGUUCGAGCGUCAUUUGUACCCUCAAGCUCUGCUUGGUGUUGGGUGUUUGUCCCGUCUCCGCGCGUGGACUCGCCCCAAAGUGAUUGGCAGCCGGCGUACUGGUCCCGGAGCGCAGCACAUGUCGCGCAAACGAGUGCCUUGGUACGGCGGCGUCCAUAAGCCCCUCUCUCACGCUCUGACCUCGGAUCAGGUAGGGAUACCCGCUGAACUUAAGC